AAAAUAACAGAAUAAAACUAGCCAAAACUAUAGGAAGAUAUCAAAUGAAACAUUUAAGAUGCCACUCAGCAUAUACAAUACAAAUUUAAGUUUUUGAAUGUCUAUAAGUAUCUAACUCCAGAGUGUCUAAAUAAAAGAAGAUACAUAAGGGCUAAUACUUAAAGAGAGAAUAGAAAGGGACUUCUCGGUCUGCGGACGCGACAGAUAUACCUCGAAGUCUCUGGGAGAGUCGCCUCGCCUCAAGGGUGAUAAGACUGAGCCGAAGUACCUGGAUCUGCACAUGAAAAAUAUGCGCAAAAUGGACAUGAGUACACCACAACGGUACUCAGUAAGUGCCAAGCCUAACCUCGGUCGGAUAGUGAUGAGAAAAGUCAGGGCCCUACUGAGGUUAAAUAAAAUACAAGGUAUAACAGUAUAGAAUAAGAUAGUAUAAUUAAGUACGACAGUAAUAAGUAACACAGGAUUGAAAGAACAAUAACAAUUAUAACAGAGACAAGAUAAUCAUGGAAAGAAAUACAUCUCAAAGCGGAGAUAACAACCGGGGAUCUCUCGGUAUCCCGAGGAUCUCUUGGUAUCCUCAAUAUGUGUGCCGGGGAUCUAUCAGCAUCCCGAGGAUCUCUUGGUAUACUCAAUAUAUGUGUUGGGGAUCUCUCGAUAUCCCGAGGAUCUCUUGGUAUCCUCAAUUUGUGUGUCGCGGAUCUCUCAGUAUCCCGAGGGUCUCUUAAUAUCCUCAAUAUAUAUGUUGGGGAUCUCUUGGUAUCCCGAAGAUCUCUUGGUAUCCUCAAUAUGUCCUGGGGAUCUCAUGGUAUCCUGCACUACAGUCCAAAUCAAUAUAUAUAUAUGUGUAGGGGAUUGUCACACCUCUUUUUUCUACCCCGGAGGGGAGUAUAGGGGAGUUUUUCCAAUUUAAGUGACAAUUGAAAUGAGAUUGUUUAAUUUAGAAAUUAUAGUCGCCACUUGGGAUGAUUUAUGGUGUCCCAAGUCACCGAUUUUAUUCCCCAAUCGAGGAAGUUUGACUCUGUUUUACAGUCCUCAAAGCACAGAAAUCCGGGUAAGGAAUUCUGCUAACCCGAGAGAAGGUGUUAGGCAUUCCCGGGUUCCGUGGAUUUAGCACGGUCACUCAACUUUUAAUAUUGGCCUAUUUAUUUGAUUUGAAAACAUCCUUAAAACCUAUGUACAUUUUUAUUCCCUUUAAAAAAAAUCACUUUUAAUAAUCCGAUUGUUAUACAACUAAUUAUUUGAUUAAUAUUGCGAAUCAUGUCAGGGGAACCGUACACAUGAUUCACAACAUGUUUAUUUUAUUAACAAGAUUAAAUUGUGGCCGGGUCACAUAAAUAUACCCUGAAUUUUAGAAAUUAAGUGUCACAAUCACGUCACGGGAACCGUACCCGUAGCUACGACAAUUUAUUUAAUUAAUGUGCCUAAGCAAUCUACGAGAUUUCAAGGCAUUUUCUACACUAAUUAAGAUAUCGAUGUGAGGGCCAUAAACUAGGUGAUUGUAUGUCACGCCUCAAUUUUGAGAAAAACAUUCAACUAAGUGGACUACGGAUAUUCAUAUUUAAAACUAAUUUGAAACUAAGUGUCACAACUACGUCAUGGGAACCAUACCCGUAGUUGUGAUGAUUUAAUUACAUGCCUAACACAAAUUAGGCUGUUGAAGGUUUUAACGGCCUAAGCAUACCCCUAGCUAAAAUCAAAAUGAAUUUGGAGGCUCAGGUUGGGAAAAUGCAAGUGAAACAAAGAAACCAGUGGCAAAGAAUAAGGAGAAAUCGACAGAACCAAAAGCUAAGAGGGAAAAGAAAGCAAAGAAUCCAAAUACGCCAAAACGUCCUCCCACUGAUUUCUUUGUGUUCAUGGAUUAACAUGGUAACUAUGCUCAACUAUAUCAUCUUCUACCAUAAAUCCUUAACGUGGGAUGAGAUGAACCUUUUAAACAUUCAUUCAUAUGCUUAAACCAACAGAAGGAACAAAAAAAUUGCACCAAAACAUGUUGUUUGUCUACUGAAAUAUUUUUCAUGGAUUAGAGAAGAUUCAACACAAAGUGACUAGGAUUAGAGAUCUACACUUUCACCCUCAGCCAAACAAAUCAAGACUUCUAAAAAACUGGCAACCAAAUAAACGAGUAAACUCUUAUAAAUAUAAAAAAUCUAUGAAAUUAAAGCAUCUGAUGCUUGAAAUGGUCAUGGACUCUGACAACGAUGUGUCGAUCUUCAAGCAAAUAGUCUGUUCCAUUCGAAAAUGAAACAAGUUCUGUAGAUACAAGUGAAGUUUCCUAGACACCCCCAUGCUUCAAAUGAUUAAAGGCAAUGUCUGCUUUCAACAGCCAUCGAUAUUUAUCAAUUAGAUGAAGAUUCGCAAUAGAAAUAUGAAUCCAAACGUCAGAAUCAAAGGAUGGAAGAAUCUGGACAUUACGCACAAUAUCCAAAAUAAUUUUAACGAGUUAAACUAAUUUCACAGUUGAUACUAACAUGUAGACAUUCUAUGACUAAAAUCAGCACUAAUCCAGAAGAUAGAAUACAGAGACAAAUUAAUCAGAAACUCGACUAAAGAUGCGACAAAUUUAGGUCGAGAAGGUAGAGUUCUCAAAUGUGAUUAUCAGUCAGCAAAGAAAGAAAUCAGUACAAGAAACCAGCCAGACUUGUUUCCAGUUAUAGAAAAGGCCAUUCUUAGAAUUCGAACUAUAGAUAAUCAAAUAGUGACUGCAAACCACUACCAAUAAUAACCAAAUUAGUUGAAUUCCAUUCAUUAAUCUAACAAGCCAACACUUUAAUCUAAGGAAACAGGCUUUAAACCAUUUAUGAACCGAUUGCACCCAAGCUUUCAUUAUUUUUUAAAUCAAACACCAAUGAAAAUAGGUAGGAAUAAAGAAAAGAACCUGAAUGAGAGUUUUUAAUUAUUUAUGUUCGGAAGUUAUUACAAACAAAUCUGGCGCUGGGAUUCAGUCUUCAAACAGCAAAUGAGCAAAAUACAGCAAUGAAAACGGAUUCGAAUUCACGAACUUAAACCUUACCAGCACUUCAAAAACCUCUAUUAACCUCUAUGUUUUUUAGCCCCAAAUCCGAGUGAAAACUCAAAUAUUUUUGUAUGUUAAAAAAAACUAAGAGAAGAAAACGUUUUUUUCAAACCUAAGAAAAAUCCUUUUUCUGAAUUUCCCUAAGAUAUUUUAACCAAAAAAAAUUUCUCCCCUUUUUGCCAAGAAAUCCUUACCUUAUAUACAAACCUCUAAAAUUCUCCAAAAAUCCGAAAAUCCAAUCCGUUUGUAAAUGAUUUUAGGGACAAAUGGAAGACGUGGAUUGAUUUCCAUUCAUCCACUGUCCCCAUUCAUCCAACAAAUCAUUCCAGAAUUCAAAAUAUAACGUGCAAAUUCAGAGGAAAUAUUCUUGUUUUGUCAGAAAUCCAUUAGGAUUAGAGUGACGUGGAGAGAAGGGACCCGUGUGAGUGAACUCGCCUGAGUUUCAGGCAAGUCAGGGCUGGGUUUGGACGAGGGAGAAGAUUAAAAGUGCAUCGCCGCUUUUGUCUUCUUAGGUUUAGGGU
rnacentral:lncRNA from 1 species